rnacentral:rRNA from 1 species
CAGUAGCCGCGGUAAUACGAGGGGGGCAAGCGUCGUUCGGAAUUAUUGGGCGUAAAGGGCGCGUAGGCGGUUUGACAAGUCUGAUGUGAAAUCUCUGGGCUCAACCCAGAGUCUGCAUCGGAAACUGUCGAGCUUGAGUAUGGGAGAGGUGAGUGGAAUUCCCGGAGUAGCGGUGAAAUGCGCAGAUACCGGGAGGAACGCCGAUGGCGAAGGCAGCCCCCUGGGCCAAUACUGACGCUCAUGCACGAAAGCGUGGGGAGCAAACAGGAUUAGAUACCCCAGUAGUCCCUGUCUCUUAUAC